GCUGGGCGUGGUGGCUCAUGCCUGUAAUCCCAGCACUUUGGGAGGCCGAGGCGGGGGGAUCACCUGAAGUCAGGAGUUCAAGACCAGCCUGGCCAACAUGGUGAAACCCCGCCUCUA
ensembl:misc_RNA Metazoa_SRP Metazoan signal recognition particle RNA